rnacentral:rRNA from 1 species
AGCAGCCGCGGUAAUUCCAGCUCCAAUAGCGUAUAUUAAAGUUGUUGCAGUUAAAAAGCUCGUAGUUGAAUUUCGGGAUUGGCGCAUCGGUCGUGCCUCACGGGGUAUGAACUGGUGCAGUCAAUUUCUCACCUUCUGGAGAACCGCGAUGUCCUUAAUUGGAUGCCGUGGGGAACCAGGACCUUUACUUUGAAAAAUUAGAGUGUUUAAAGCAGGCAUUUUUGCUUGAAUACAUUAGCAUGGAAUAAUAAAAUAGGACGGCAUGGUUCUAUUUUGUUGGUUUCUAGGACCACCGUAAUGAUUAAUAGGGAUAGUUGGGGGCAUUAGUAUUCAAUUGUCAGAGGUGAAAUUCUUGGAUUUAUUGAAGACUAACUAC